rnacentral:rRNA from 1 species
GAUGAACGCUGGCGGCGUGCCUAAUACAUGCAAGUCGAGCGAACAGACGAGGAGCUUGCUCCUCUGACGUUAGCGGCGGACGGGUGAGUAACACGUGGAUAACCUACCUAUAAGACUGGGAUAACUUCGGGAAACCGGAGCUAAUACCGGAUAAUAUAUUGAACCGCAUGGUUCAAUAGUGAAAGACGGUUUUGCUGUCACUUAUAGCUGGAUCCGCGCCGCAUUAGCUAGUUGGUAAGGUAACGGCUUACCAAGGCAACCAUGCGUAGCCGACCUGAGAGGGUGAUCGGCCACACUGGAAGUGAGACACAGUCCAGACUCCUACGGGAGGCAGCAGUAGGGAAUCUUCCGCAAUGGGCGAAAGCCUGACGGAGCAACGCCGCGUGAGUGAUGAAGGUCUUCGGAUCGUAAAACUCUGUUAUUAGGGAAGAACAAAUGUGUAAGUAACUAUGCACGUCUUGACGGUACCUAAUCAGAAAGCCACGGCUAACUACGUG